GAAGGCAUAGCUCAGUGGUACAGUGUGUGCUUAGCUUUCACAAGAUCCUGGGUUCAAUCCCCAGUAUCUCCA
rnacentral:tRNA from 1 species